rnacentral:misc_RNA from 1 species
AACAUCGCGCACCUGCGGGAACCUGCGGAGGGAUCAUUCAUAACAGGCCCAGUAUGGGGGCCCUUUUAAAUUUCCAUAUUCACCUUGUGUGCAAUGUUUUUAAUUAUAUUUUUUAAACGCUUAAAAUUUUUUUUUUUUAAAUUGUCUGAAAUAAAUAUUGUGAAUUUUUUUAAUUCAAAAUACAACUUUUAACAACGGAUCU